GGGCAGCAGUACUUUUCGGAGUAGCUGGCGACCGGCGCACGGGUGCGUAACGCGUAUGCAAUCUACCUACAGCAGAGGGAUAGCCCGUGGAAACAUGGAUUAAUACCUCAUAAUACAGGGGGCCCACCUGGGCAUAUUGUUAAAGAUUUAUCGGCUGUAGAUGAGCAUGCGUCCCAUUAGCUAGUUGGUACGGUAACGGCGUACCAAGGCGAUGAUGGGUAGGGGUUCUGAGAGGAUGAUCCCCCACACUGGUACUGAGAUACGGACCAGACUCCUACGGGAGGCAGCAGUAGGGAAUAUUGGUCAAUGGACGAGAGUCUGAACCAGCCAUGCCGCGUGCAGGAAGACGGCCUUCUGGGUUGUAAACUGCUUUUCUCAGGGAAGAAAAUGGUCUUGCGAGACAAAUUGCCGGUACCUGAGGAAUAAGCACCGGCUAACUCCGUGCCAGCAGCCGCGGUAAUACGGAGGGUGCGAGCGUUGUCCGGAUUUAUUGGGUUUAAAGGGUGCGUAGGCGGCCUAUUAAGUCAGUGGUGAAAGGUAUCAGCUUAACUGAUGAUGUGCCAUUGAAACUGACAGGCUUGAGUACAGACGAGGUAGGCGGAAUUUAUGGUGUAGCGGUGAAAUGCAUAGAUACCAUAAAGAACACCGAUAGCGAAGGCAGCUUACUAGGCUGAGACUGACGCUGAGGCACGAAAGCGUGGGGAGCGAACAGGAUUAGAUACCCUGGUAGUCCACGCUGUAAACGAUGAUUACUGGAUGUGUGCGAUAAACAGUACGCGUCUGAGCGAAAGCGUUAAGUAA
rnacentral:rRNA from 1 species